rfam:Oryza sativa (indica cultivar-group) chromosome 6, whole genome shotgun sequence.
AAAAAGUCAAAGCCGGGAUUUCCGUGUCCAACUUUAACGGUCCGUCUUAUAUGAAAUUUUUUUAUAAUUCGUAUUUUCAUUGUUGUUAGAUGAUAAAACAUGAUUAAUAUUUUAUGCGUGACUUGUCUUUUUAAUUUUUUUCAUAAUUUUUUCAAAUAAGACGGACGGUCAAACAUUUGGCACGAAAAUCAGGGUUUGUAUUCACG